rnacentral:rRNA from 1 species
CUCCUACGGGAGGCAGCAGUGGGGAAUCUUGUGCAAUGGGCGAAAGCCUGACACAGCAACGCCGCGUGCGGGAAGAAGGCCUUCGGGUCGUAAACCGCUUUCAGCAGGAACGAAAAUGACGGUACCUGCAGAAGAAGGUGCGGCCAACUACGUGCCAGCAGCCGCGGUAAU